CGUCAAAUAUCAUACAACGACAGCGAAACAAAGUAGUAAUAUCUAAAUCGUCUUCCUCAUCAUCGUUACUGCCAUUCGAGUCUUUUUCAUCGCACAACUUAUCCCAUUCUAUUACAUUAAUGAAUCGGUUCCAUAGAAGAGUGUCAUUUAGUAUAGAAAUAUACUUCCUUUUUUGUUCUGGGGACAAAUAAAGGCUCCAAUAAUCAUUUUUAAGCAGCGCGAUUGCAAUGUCAUGAAGAACAGGCUCAUCCAACGACUUUGAAUCUUCGAAAUUAGUCUCCAUUCAAAUUCUCCUUCCCUAUGUAUAAUAGUUCAUAAAUGACGCGUGAUAAAUUAAAUUAACAACCACAAUGGAUAAAAAAUAACACUUGAGAUAUGUGAAGGUUUCAUACUCGUUUGUUUCGCUAGCGUCGGAUAUGGAUACACAGCGAUUUCCUGAAAUAUGUUUAACGUACUGUAACAAUUGAAAAUAACGAUAGAAAUGAA